UACGGAGGGUGCGAGCGUUGUCCGGAAUCACUGGGCGUAAAGGGCGCGUAGGCGGCAUGCCAAGCGUGUGGUGAAAGCCCGGGCUCAACCCCGGGUCGGCCGUGCGGACUGGCGUGCUUGAGCACUGUAGGGGCGGGUGGAAUUCCGGGUGUAGCGGUGGAAUGCGUAGAGAUCCGGAAGAACACCGGUGGCGAAGGCGGCCCGCUGGGCAGGAAGACGGAGCAAUCCGUCGGCUGACGCUGAGGCGCGACAGCGUGGGGAGCAAACAGG
rnacentral:rRNA from 1 species